UCCUGGUUAGCUCAGUUGGUGGAGCGCUCCACUGGAAAUGGAGGGGUUCCUUGUUUGAUACCAGGACCAGAAG
rnacentral:tRNA from 1 species